UACGCGAGGAACCUUACCCGGGCUCGAACGGUGCCUGAAUUCAGCAGAGAUGUUGGAGCUAGCAAUAGCAGGUAUCGAGGUGCUGCAUGGGCGCGGUGAAUACGUUCCCUGGGGUCUCGGCUUAAGUGCCGUAACGAGCGCAACCCUUAUCUUCAGUUACCAUCAGGUAUUGCUGGGGACUCUGGAGAUACUGCCACCGUAAGGUGAGAGGAAGGUGGGGAUGACGUCAAAUCAGCACGGCCCUUACGUCCGGGGCGACACACGUGUUACAAUGGUCGGUACAGAGGGGAGCUACACUGUGAAGUGAUGCGAAUCUCGAAAGCCGAUCUCAGUUCGGAUUGGAGUCUGCAACUCGACUCCAUGAAGUUGGAUUCGCUAGUAAUCGCGCAUCAGCCAUGGCGCGGUGAAUACGUUCCCGGGUCUUGUACACACCG
rnacentral:rRNA from 1 species